CACUGUUGGUGGUGUUUGGAUCUUACAACAUUACACAUGAUGUAAGAUCAAAAGCAGAAAUAUACCACAAUAGG